GAUGAACGCUGGCGGCGUGCCUAAUACAUGCAAGUCGAGCGAACAGACGAGGAGCUUGCUCCUCUGACGUUAGCGGCGGACGGGUGAGUAACACGUGGAUAACCUACCUAUAAGACUGGGAUAACUUCGGGAAACCGGAGCUAAUACCGGAUAAUAUAUUGAACCGCAUGGUUCAAUAGUGAAAGACGGUUUUGCUGUCACUUAUAGAUGGAUCCGCGCUGCAUUAGCUAGUUGGUAAGGUAACGGCUUACCAAGGCGACGAUGCGUAGCCGACCUGAGAGGGUGAUCGGCCACACUGGAACUGAGACACGGUCCAGACUCCUACGGGAGGCAGCAGUAGGGAAUCUUCCGCAAUGGGCGAAAGCCUGACGGAGCAACGCCGCGUGAGUGAUGAAGGUCUUCGGAUCGUAAAACUCUGUUAUUAGGGAAGAACAUAUGUGUAAGUAACUGUGCACGUCUUGACGGUACCUAAUCAGAAAGCCACGGCUAACUACGUG
rnacentral:rRNA from 1 species